AUUACUCCAACAAAACGGUCGAAUACUACACCGAAGCGGUUAAGUACUACUCUGCCCCGUUCUACACAACCAUAACUGAGGCGGCCAAGUAUUACGCAGUCCAGACUUACUACACAGAAGCUACUCUUUCGUGCUACGUUGAACAGAAAUACUACACUGAUGCUCCAGUCUACUACACCACGACCUACGCUACACCGCAGCUCCCAAGUACUACAUCGAAGAAGCCGCCUAUUACACAACAACGUAUGCUGCAUAGUUUACUGCACCGAGGCUCCCAAGUACUACAUCACUAAGGCACCGGAAUUCUACACGUCUAUGUAUGCUGCCCCUGCCUACUUCACCGAGGCGCCGCAUUACUACAACACUGAAGCGCUUAAGUACUACACUACAACCUUACGCUGCCCCGAGCUACUACACUUACGUCCCGAAGUAUUACUAUGCGUAAAAGGAGUCGUAAAAAAAAAGAAGUCGUGCCCAAACUGCCUAUCUGUCACCAACUGCGUUCCUCAUCUUGUAACCGAUUCGCCAUUAUGGACAUCUAUGGCGUCGUGCUCCUGUUGGGUGCUGUAUCGUUGAUGGUUGGGUCGACCGCUGGUGUAGCGAUGUCUCCUUGGUAAGGCGGAAACCAAACCGCAACGCCGCCGCCUUCCUACACAAC